rnacentral:rRNA from 1 species
AGUGAACGCUGGCGGUAGGCCUAACACAUGCAAGUCGAACGGCAGCACAGAGGAGCUUGCUCCUUGGGUGGCGAGUGGCGGACGGGUGAGGAAUACAUCGGAAUCUACUCUGUCGUGGGGGAUAACGUAGGGAAACUUACGCUAAUGCCGCAUACGACCUACGGGUGAAAGCAGGGGAUCUUCGGACCUUGCGCGAUUGAAUGAGCCGAUGUCGGAUUAGCUAGUUGGCGGGGUAAAGGCCCACCAAGGCGACGAUCCGUAGCUGGUCUGAGAGGAUGAUCAGCCACACUGGAACUGAGGCACGGUCCAGACUCCUACGGGAGGCAGCAGUGGGGAAUAUUGGACAAUGGGCGCAAGCCUGAUCCAGCCAUACCGCGUGGGUGAAGAAGGCCUUCGGGUUGUAAAGCCCUUUUGUUGGGAAAGAAAUCCAUCUGGUUAAUACCCGGGUGGGAUGACGGUACCCAAAGAAUAAGCACCGGCUAACUUCGUGCCAGCCGCCGCGGUAA